UUAUUUUUUGUUAGAAACGUGAUUUGCUCUGAUAUUAAUUGUUGGAAGCGUGAUUUUUUCUGAUAUCAAUUAUUGGAACUGAUAUUUAUACUGAUACCGAUUAUAUAACCCAAGAUCUAAAAUAUAAAGAAGAGAGAUAUUUAUUGGAGGAAAAAGAAAACUAAACUAAUACUAUAUUAAUAAAAAGUAAUUAAUUACAUUCUGGGCAACACCUAUGUAGCCAUAUUUACUGUGGCUUAUUCCUCUAAGGGUGCGUUUGGUUCGAGUUAUCUUGACAGGAUUACAGGCAAUCCUGUCAGGAUUACUGUGUUUGGUUCAUCCGCUAUGUAAUCUAGUCGUUAAUGUAGCAUUACAAAUCGAGCAGGAUUACACCGAAAAUAUUAAUGAGAGGGAUAUAUCUUGCAUUAUUGAAAAUCGGUAAUACUACAUAUUAUGUAAAUUACAAUUUUACCCCUCUAACUCUCGAAACCCUUUCAAUACGUCAUUUUAAAAAAUUUAAUUUUAAAUUUUGAAUUGUCAACUUUUAAAUUUUAAAUUUUAAAUUUAAAUUUUUAAUUUUUAAUUUUUAAAUUUGUAAACUUCAAAUUUAAAUUUUUAAUUUUUAAUUUGAAUUUAAAUUUUAGAUUUUAAAUUACAAAUUUUAGAUUUUAAAUUUUAAUUUUUAAAUUUCAAAUUUAAAUUUUUAAAAUUUAAAUUUUAAAUUUCAAAUUUCAAAUUUAAAUUUCAAAUUUCAAAUUUCAAAUUUAAAUUUCAAAUUUCAAAUUUUAAACUUUAAAUUUUAAAUUUAUUUUUUUUAAAUUUAAAAUUUAAAAUUUAAAAUUCUAAAUUUGUAUUUUUAAUUUAUGAAUUAUAAAUUUUAGAUUUUAAAUUUAUAAAUUUCAUAUUUUUAUUUUAAAUUAAUUUAUUAAAUUUAUAUUUUUGUUCAAAUUUAAAAAUUAAAAAUUAAAAAUUAAAUUAUUCAAAAUAAAAUUUAGUAAAAAAAUAUUAUUUGUGAAUAGUAAAAAAAUAGUUUACAAAAUAUGGUUAAGGGCAAUUUUGGAAUAGACUAUACUUUAUUUUCUAGAUUACUGAAUGUUAUAGACAGAACUAAAUAUAUUAAUGCUAUAAACACUGCAACCUAGCAUUACAUUACUGUAUUAAACCAAACGCGCUAAUGCAGCAUAAGUAGUAAUCUCUUUUAGAAAUCCAAGAUAUCCGGAUAUAUUGAAAUACUCUAUAAUAUUAUAUAACUUGAACCAAACACGCCCUAAUUAACGUAUGCCUAACUAUAUAUAUCUCAUCAAAUCAUAACAGAUGAUAAAUCCAACUUUUAUUUUGAAGAACUACAAAUUCUAAUCAAAAUCAAAUAAAAGACUUAAAUUUAUCCCUAACUAUAUUUUAAU
rnacentral:lncRNA from 1 species